rnacentral:rRNA from 1 species
GGGUUGUGAGGUUAAGCGACCAAGCGUACACGGUGGAUGCCCUGGCAGUCAGAGGCGAUGAAGGACGUGCUAAUCUGCGAUAAGCGCCGGUAAGGUGAUAUGAACCGUUAUAACCGGCGAUUUCCGAAUGGGGAAACCCAGUGUGAUUCGUCACACUAUCAUUACGUGAAUACAUAGCGUAAUGA